rnacentral:rRNA from 1 species
GACGAACGCUGGCGGCGUGCUUAACACAUGCAAGUCGAACGAGAAGAGAUGAGAAGCUUGCUUCUUAUCGAUUCGAGUGGCAAACGGGGUGAGUAACGCGUAAGCAACCUGCCCUUCAGAUGGGGACAACAGCUGGAAACGGCUGCUAAUACCGAAUACGUUCUUUUUGUCGCAUGGCAGAGGGAAGAAAGGGAGGCUCUUCGGAGCUUUGCUGAAGGAGGGGCUUGCGUCUGAUUAGCUAGUUGGAGGGGUAACGGCCCACCAAGGCGACGAUCAGUAGCCGGUCUGAGAGGAUGAACGGCCACAUUGGGACUGAGACACGGCCCAGACUCCUACGGGAGGCAGCAGUGGGGAAUCUUCCGCAAUGGACGAAAGUCUGACGGAG